CUACGGGGGGCUCCAGUCGAGAAUUUUUCACAAUGGGGGAAACCCUGAUGGAGCGACGCCGCGUGGAGGAUGACGGUUUUCGGAUUGUAAACUCCUGUCAUUAGAGAACAAGGCACACGGUUUAACUGGCCGUGUGUUGAUAGUAUCUGAAGAGGAAGAGACGGCUAACUCUGUGCCAGCAGCCGCGGUAAUACAGAGGUCUCAAGCGUUGUUCGGAUUCAUUGGGCGUAAAGGGUGCGUAGGUGGCGAUGUAAGUCGGAUGUGAAAUCUCCAAGCUUAACUUGGAAACUGCAUUCGAUACUGCGUUGCUCGAGGACUGUAGAGGGCAUUGGAAUUCACGGUGUAGCAGUGAAAUGCGUAGAUAUCGUGAGGAAGACCAGUGGCGAAGGCGAAUGCCUGGGCAGUUCCUGACACUGAGGCACGAAGGCCAGGGGAGCAAACGGGAUUAGAUACCCGCGUAGUC
rnacentral:rRNA from 1 species